GUCAUACGUCCGUGCAAAGCGUAUUUCACUGCACAUUAUUUUUCAAACGUAUUCCUGAAUAAUUAGAAAGAGCAAAGCCAAUUCGAAAAUGUUUUUGGAUUAGCUCUCUAGAGUCAUCACAAUUAACAGAAACAAAUGACCCAUGAGCAGCAAAAAUUUACCGUACAAUGUAAAUAUUACCAACCAGUCUCGUUUCUUAUAGGCAUCUUGCUCGUAACCAUGGCAACGAAGAAUUUAUCAAACGCAGGUGGCCGACUUUAUAUGCAUUUAGGGCCUUGGCCGCCGAGAUCGCCGAGAUACAGUGCCCGAUUCAAAUGGUAAGGCAAGUCACCCCUAAACUGGUAUUUGCCCUCGAUACAGUCCUUGUCAAAAUACAGAUAAAUCAGUUUUCGAACUCGCGCGUUACACUUCGCCAUGUUCUGAGCAGGCGCCAAGCAUUUGUAGAUUGCUAAUUUUUCCGAAGCCAGCCCUCGAAGCACUCAUCACGACGUGAAGAACUUGGAAACACAAAUGGCUCAUUAUCGAGAAGAGAAUAUAUGCAACCUCAUUCCGAAGAAAGCACCGCCACCACCAAAACUACUGAAAUAUGUUUCAAAAUUUCAUAAUCAGACCAAACAAGAAAUUGCAAGCAGCCAGAGGCAGCAUGCUCAUUUCGGCUAUCAACAUUACCCCGCAGAUAACCCGUGCGAAUUCCUUCGAAAACAGUCGAAAAAGCCCAUGACGACACCAGCAGGACACCCAAAGCCAAUCGUGAAGGCAGAACGGUUGGUAGACGACAAAAUGCCCGUUUCACUAAAGGAACGAAAGAAAGAAGGGAAGAACUUCUUGGCAAAUAACAAGAAGGAAGUCAAAGAAAAGCAAAACGUUUACGUGCCAGAACGUAAGUAUGUUGAUACCAAGGGAGGCGAUAAGCACACACUUGAGCCAUCCGGUUUAAAGCUAAGAUACGUAUUCAAGAAAGACUUUGGCAAGACACCAAAAUAUUUAGCCAAGCGAGACGUAGAGAUGCGAGAAGCACAGGAACAACGAGAACGCGAAGCGAGAGAAGCAAUAGAAUCUCAAAAGGCGAAGCAAAUAUCCGAAGAAGAGCGCCAAGAGAUGCUGAAAGGCCUGAAAGAAAAUUGGGCAGCUCUGAACAAAGCGUACUCUGCCCAGUCGCUCUGCAUCGACAAUCUACCGAAGCAGUUCCGUAAAGAGAGCCUGGAGCGUCAGAUGGCGGCGCUGGAGAAAGACAUCGAUCUCGUCGAGAGGAACACCGUCAUACUGAUCGCCAGUCCCAGAGGCCACACAACCAACUAGAUCGACAGCGUCCACAAUCCACACUCGUCUCACGUGUUCCCCACCAUUUUAAGUCCCCUGUCUUGUCAAUGAACGGCAAAGUAAGCGACAGAGAGGAUGUUCGCUAAGUGUCAAUACUUUUAGUCCUUGACAGUCCACUGUGUACCUGCAGUGUAUCACAAAACAGCCAAUAUGCUGCUCACAGCCCAGAUGAGACGUCGAAAAAUGUUCAUUUACAGUUCGUGCAUUAGGCUCACCAACUAGCUCAACGACUUCAACUAACUCUCUGACGCAUGUCCUUUGCUGGCACACCCACAGUCGCUGAAUAAAAUGUCCCGUGUCC
rnacentral:lncRNA from 1 species